GGUUUCUCUCCUGAAUGAGUUCUAUAAUGUACAGUGAGGUAUGACAUCCGAGAGAAGGCUUUUCCACACUCAUUACAUUCAAAGGGUUUCUCUCCUGAAUGAAUUCGAUGAUGUAUAGUGAGAUAGGACAUCUGAGAGAAGCACUUCCCACAUUCGUAACAUUCGUAGGCUUUCUCUCCUGUGUGUGUUCUCUGAUGUCGAUUAAGGGCUGAAUUCUGGCAGAAGGUUUUCCCACAUAUAUAGCAUUCAUAGGGCUUCUCUCCUUUGUGUAUUCUCCGAUGUCUACAAAGGGCUGAGUUCUGGUAGAAGGUUUUCCCACAUUCACUACAUUCAUAGGGUUUUACUCCUGAAUGAGUUCUAUGAUGGAUAGUGAGGUAUGACAACUGGGAGAAUAACUUUCCACAUUCAUUACAUUCAUAAGGUUUCUCUCCUGUGUGCACUCUCUGAUGUCUCAUGAGGGCUGAAUUCAGGUAGAAGGUUUUUCCACAUUCAUUACAUUCAUAGGGUUUCUCUCCUGAAUGAGUUCUAUAAUGUACAGUGAGAUAUGACAACCGAGAGAAGAAUUUUCCACACUCAUUACAUUCAUAUGGUUUCUCUCCUGUGUGGGUCCUCAGGUGGGUCGUGAGAGUAGACUUGCGGCAGAAGCAUUUCCCACAUUCACUACACUUGUAGAGUUUCACACCUGUGUGAAUUUUCUGAUGGUCAUUAAGUGCUGACUUCUGCGAGAAGGUUUUCCCACAGUCAUGACAAACGUAAGGUCUCUCUCCUGAAUGUGUUCUCUGAUGUUGUGUGAGGUGUGUCUUCUGGCAAAAGGAUUUUCCACAAUAACUACAUUCAUAGGGCUUCUCUCCUGAGUGAGUUCUCUGAUGCUGAAUGAGGUGUAACUUCUGGUAAAAGUUCUUCCCACAUUCAUUACAUUCAUAGGGCUUCUCCCCUGUGUGUGUUCUCUGAUGCACAGUAAGGGUUCCCUUCUGGCAGAAGGAUUUCCCACACUGAUUACAUUCGUAAGGUUUCUCUCCUGUGUGAGUCCUCUGAUGUAUAAUAAAUUUUGACUUUUUACAGAAGGAUUUCCCACAUUCACUGCAUUCAUAGGGCUUCAUUUCCAUAUGAGAUGUCUGAUGUACAGUGAGGUCUGACAUCUGGAGAAAGGCUAUUUCAGAUCCA
rnacentral:lncRNA from 1 species